UUAUAGAUUUGGACAUCCUAAAUAAAAACUGAAUUUAUAAAAGUGGAUGACCAACCAUUUUGUGAUAGACCGGUUUAUAAUUUGUUUGUAAAUACCCGAUUAAUUGGAUAUGGUUUUGGAUUUGGACGUGGUUUUAUCCACGUGACUAGAUAUUUUGCUCACCCCUAACCACUACCAAUCGAAAUUCAUUCAAUCCAUCAAGAAGCACCUCCAUACUCACAAUCUUCUCAUAAACAAACCAUCAAUACCCAUAACCACCACCACCCAUCCAUUCAAACCUCAACAACUAUCACACAAACUCAAUCUUCAAUCAUCAAACCCUUCUUUCCAAAAUCAUAAACAGAAAACUAUAACAAAAACAUAACAGAAGCGAACGCAAAAGGUGUGAGAAAAAAAGAAAACAUUUUGCCGUGGUCGAAUCCCACCAAUCUCCUCACCGCUAUCUCCGCUCAUCACCAUCACUUCCGAUCGUGUGUCGUUGCUGGAAUUUCUGCCGCCACUCUCUCUCUCUCUCUCUCGCAGCCGCGCACCACAGAUUCUCCGCUGGCCCAUCUCCUCUCUCUCUCACUCUUUCUUCUGGUUAGCUAUUUUUCUUUCCCAUUCUUUCUCUCUGUUUUGCGUGUAGGCUAUAUUCUUGUAAAUGAAGACUUAAUUUAUUCUCUUAUAUGUCUAACUAUCCAUUUAUUUAGUUUAGUCUAUUUUUUUUCCUAUUUAAUUGUUGCAUUGGAUAUUUGGAUUCAAAGUUGAAGCCUUCUUCAACGGAAUC
rnacentral:lncRNA from 1 species